rnacentral:rRNA from 1 species
UACGAAGGGGGCUAGCGUUGUUCGGAAUUACUGGGCGUAAAGCGCACGUAGGCGGACUAUUAAGUCAGGAGUGAAAUCCCGGGGCUCAACCCCGGAACUGCCUUUGAUACUGGUAGUCUCGAGUCCGGAAGAGGUGAGUGGAAUUCCGAGUGUAGAGGUGAAAUUCGUAGAUAUUCGGAGGAACACCAGUGGCGAAGGCGGCUCACUGGUCCGGUACUGACGCUGAGGUGCGAAAGCGUGGGGAGCAAACAGG